GUGCAAUGAUCAGGUAAGAGCAAUGUCUGUAUAGAUUAAACCGAAUGUACAAUUUUUUGGCCCAGAGGUCACCCUCUAUUUCCAAGAGGAGAGUCAGCUUCAACGUGGUGAGACCUGAUAAAAUGAGAUAGGGGGCUAAGAGUCACCGACCUCAGAGGGAGAAAACUGGAGCAAAUAAAAAGCACAUCCCAGGUUUUGACAUGGUGGAGAUCACAUCAAGGCCUCAGCUACAGCAUCUUGAAGCAUGCGAAUCUCCCGCUGAUGGACGACCGCCAAGGACCCCUCACAGAGACCCCACAAGCGAAUGUUACGUUCCAUCACAGCAGCGACUACCCGCAACAACUCAGGAGGACUGAAAGUCAGCGGGCUUCUUUAAAUCCCACCACCAAGCCUUUCUUUACACCCAGGAGCUCGACAGUAUGUCAGUCAGCUAUCGGUCUCUGAAGGACAAAGACCAGCCCUGUUGGUGUCUGCUUGACACACCGAGCACCUAGCCAGUAGAGCUUGACAUAGUACGACGAAGUGACUAAAUCAUUGCAGCUCCAAAAACCCAGUUUACAUUUUCCAGCUCGAAUGUUGCUUCUGCAGUAGACUUGUUAAUCAAGAUCGGCAAAUUGGUGCGAAUGGGAUUCAAACAAACAAGUUCCAGCUCACUAUCGUGACUGCAAUCGAACAAAAAAAUCCCCAGAAAAACACGGAAAAUACAAGUAAUCUACAAAAAUAUUACUUCAUGUUUUUAACUAAUUGCUGUGUCUGGUGGGAAAAAAAAUAAUCUAAAUUUGAAGCUAACUUUAAAUAUUCAUUUGAGAUAUAUUCUCUGUGCAGUCACUCUGAUUUCAUGGAGAAAAAUCUCUAAUUCUAUCAAAUAAUGUGUGUUUUGAGAAGAACUGGCAAAGAGGUAGAAUUUUAUGCAUCCCCAAAGCUCGAUUUAAACUGAAAUGUAUGCAUAUAGAUUUGUAAUUGUUUAAUACUGGCUUCCAGAAAAGAGAGCUCAAAGAAACAGCGGUAAGAAAUAAUAAAAUGGUGAUAAAGCAUGGAAGAAACAAAUCUAAUUGAAGGAUCCUAAAUGCUUGGCUUAAACACAAAAGAAAUAAAGCAUUUAAUCACUGCAAUAUUUAGUGCCAAAUAUAUCCAAUGCCAUGUGUCUGCAAAGUGACAACACCUACCUACAUUACCCUUAAUUACUGGUGGUUUUGUGUUGUGUAACUACAGUUUGGUUAGACACAACCUUGUUAAAUCAGAACCUCAGACACAGUUUACACAUGGAAACCUGCUUUAGCCACUGAUGUUUAUAAGACCAAUGAAACCCAACACAAUCUAUGUGAUUAUGGUGAAAACCAUAUCUACUACUGCAUUACAACAUGCCAGUUUUGUGUACGUCUGGGUGCAUCGUGUGAGUAUGUGAUGAGUUAGGAGAGUAGCUAUGAUGUUUGGUAGCAAGUUCAGAGAACACAAGUGAAUUCUAAUUAAAUACCUAAAGACUAUAAGGAGGAAUUUUACAUGCAUUUGUAUGUGCGUACUACUGCUUUGUUCAUGUUGAGGUUUGCAGUUUCACAUGUAGACAGAUGCAAGGCAUUUCUGUGAAGUUUACAUUUGCGUAGGUAAAUAGUGAAAACAUGUAC